GUGGGGAAUAUUGGACAAUGGGCGCAAGCCUGAUCCAGCAAUGCCGCGUGUGUGAAGAAGGCCUUCGGGUUGUAAAGCACUUUAAGUUGGGAAGAAAAAACUCGCUCUAACACAGUGAGUCUUGACGGUACCGACAGAAUAAGCACCGGCUAACUCUGUGCCAGCAGCCGCGGUAAUACAGAGGGUGCAAGCGUUAAUCGGAUUUACUGGGCGUAAAGCGUGCGUAGGCGGUUCGUUAAGUCGAUUGUGAAAGCCCUGGGCUUAACCUGGGAAUUGCAGUCGAUACUGGCGGACUAGAGAACGGUAGAGGGAGGCGGAACUCCAGGUGUAGCGGUGAAAUGCGUAGAUAUCUGGAAGAACACCGAUGGCGAAGGCAACCUCCUGGGCCUGUUCUGACGCUGAGGCACGAAAGCGUGGGUAGCAA
rnacentral:rRNA from 1 species